UACAUGGGGUGCAAGCGUUGCUCGGAAUUAUUGGGCGUAAAGCGCGCGUAGGCGGUUUCUUAAGUCGGAUGUGAAAGCCCUCGGCUUAACUGAGGAAGUGCACCCGAAACUGAGUAGCUAGAGUACUAAAGAGGGUCGCGGAAUUCCCGGUGUAGAGGUGAAAUUCGUAGAUAUCGGGAGGAACACCGGUGGCGAAGGCGGCGACCUGGGUAGAUACUGACGCUGAGGCGCGAAAGCGUGGGGAGCAAACAGG
rnacentral:rRNA from 1 species